UGGCGUCACCUCCGUAACUGCGGCUGGAUCACCUCCUUUUAAAGAAUAGGGUCUAGACCCCACACACGCCACUCGGUAAGGAAUUGGGCCUAUAGCUCAGCUGGCUAGAGCACACGACUGAUAAUCGUGAGGUCAGUGGUUCGAGUCCACUUGGGCCCACCAAAUGGGGCUGUAGCUCAGUUGGGAGAGCACCUGCUUUGCAAGCAGGGGGUCACCGGUUCGAGACCGGUCAGCUCCACCACAGGGAUGGAAGGCCCGCAAAGAGCGCGGGCUGGUCGCUGGGGAAGCGGUAUGGAAGUGAUUUGGGAUUGGAUUUUUUAGUGUGUAGUGCUGAAUGACGCUUUACGGAUGUAGGAAGUUAAAAGGCGCUAUUGAUCACUGCCCACUCGGAAGAUUUGAGUGCGUUAGUUUGUUCUUUGACAGUUGAGGAAGGGAAGGCCAUGUUUGCCAUCUUGCCGAUGGCGGACCUCCAGGUGGAUGCUUGGGGAUAUAUGGUCAAGUGAAUAAGGGCAUACGGUGGAUGCCUUGGCAGAGACAGGCGACGAAGGACGUGGAUACCUGCGAAAAGCCUCGGGGAGCUGGUAAUCAAGCUUUGAUCCGGGGAUAUCCGAGAGAACCCCCCAAAAACAAAAA
rnacentral:misc_RNA from 1 species